rnacentral:rRNA from 1 species
GACGAACGCUGGCGGCGUGCUUAACACAUGCAAGUCGAGCGGUAAGGCCCUUUCGGGGGUACACGAGCGGCGAACGGGUGAGUAACACGUGGGUGACCUGCCCUCAGCUCUGGGAUAAGCCCGGGAAACUGGGUCUAAUACCGGAUAUGACUCCAUGACGCAUGCUGUGGGGUGGAAAGCCUUGUGCGGCUGAGGAUGGGCCCGCGGCCUAUCAGCUUGUUGGUGGGGUGANGGCCUACCAAGGCGACGACGGGUAGCCGGCCUGAGAGGGCGACCGGCCACACUGGGACUGAGAUACGGCCCAGACUCCUACGGGAGGCAGCAGUGGGGAAUCUUGCGCAAUGGGCGAAAGCCUGACGCAGCGACGCCGCGUGAGGGAUGGACGGCCU